UACGGAGGGGACUAGCGUUGUUCGGAAUUACUGGGCGUAAAGCGCACGUAGGCGGAUUUGUAAGUCAGGGGUGAAAUCCCGGGGCUCAACCUCGGAACUGCCUUUGAUACUGCAAAUCUCGAGUCCGGAAGAGGUGAGUGGAAUUCCUAGUGUAGAGGUGAAAUUCGUAGAUAUUCGCAAGAACACCAGUGGCGAAGGCGGCUCACUGGCCCGAUACUGACGCUGAGGUGCGAAAGCGUGGGGAGCAAACAGG
rnacentral:rRNA from 1 species